UUUGCCCUUGAGGCGUGGCUUCCGGAGCUAACGCGUUAAAUCGACCGCCUGGGGAGUACGGCCGCAAGGUUAAAACUCAAAUGAAUUGACGGGGGCCCGCACAAGCGGUGGAGCAUGUGGUUUAAUUCGAUGCAACGCGAAGAACCUUACCUGGUCUUGACAUCCACAGAACUUAGCAGAGAUGCUUUGGUGCCUUCGGGAACUGUGAGACAGGUGCUGCAUGGCUGUCGUCAGCUCGUGUUGUGAAAUGUUGGGUUAAGUCCCGCAACGAGCGCAACCCUUAUCCUUUGUUGCCAGCGGUUAGGCCGGGAACUCAAAGGAGACUGCCAGUGAUAAACUGGAGGAAGGUGGGGAUGACGUCAAGUCAUCAUGGCCCUUACGACCAGGGCUACACACGUGCUACAAUGGCGCAUACAAAGAGAAGCGACCUCGCGAGAGCAAGCGGACCUCAUAAAGUGCGUCGUAGUCCGGAUUGGAGUCUGCAACUCGACUCCAUGAAGUCGGAAUCGCUAGUAAUCGUAGAUCAGAAUGCUACGGUGAAUACGUUCCCGGGCCUUGUACACACCGCCCGUCACACCAUGGGAGUGGGUUGCAAAAGAAGUAGGUAGCUUAACCUUCGGGAGGGCGCUUACCACUUUGUGAUUCAUGACUG
rnacentral:rRNA from 1 species